rnacentral:rRNA from 1 species
UGGGGAAUUUUCCGCAAUGGGCGAAAGCCUGACGGAGCAAUACCGCGUGAGGGAGGAAGGCUUUUGGGUUGUAAACCUCUUUUCUCAAGGAAGAAGAUCUGACGGUACUUGAGGAAUCAGCAUCGGCUAACUCCGUGCCAGCAGCCGCGGUAAUACGGAGGAUGCAAGCGUUAUCCGGAUUGAUUGGGCGUAAAGCGUCUGCAGGUGGCUAAGCAAGUCUGCUGUUAAAGAGUGGAGCUCAAGACCAUAAGGGCAGUGGAAACUGCGUAACUAGAGUACGUUCGGGGUAGAGGGAAUUCCUGGUGUAGCGGUGAAAUGCGUAGAUAGCAGGAAGAACACCGGUGGCGAAAGCGCUCUGCUAGGCCGUAACUGACACUGAGGGACGAAAGCUAGGGGAGCGAAUGGGAUUAGAUACCCGGGUAGUCC